UCUCUCUCUCUCUCUCUCUUUUUUUUUCCACCCCUCCCCGUGUUAAACCCACGGCCAUAAGCUAUACUGAACAUAUCUGGAGCGGACGAGUUACAUAGGUUUUCUGUCUCGUUACGUUAUUACUAUUUUUUCUUUCUUUUUCAUUUGCUUUCAGCGGUGUUUUUUCAGUUCUCGUUGCUGCGGACCUGCUGGGUUUGUGUGGACAGGAUUAUUCUCGAGACGUGCUUGUCUUUAAGUGCUCCAGUUCUCUCUGAUGGCUCUGCUUACGUUUUGAUGGCUGUGCUCUGUGCUUGAUGCCUGUGGACGCUGCCGUGUGGAAAGUGUGCAUAGCAUUGGCAGUAGUGGUGUCCAGGGUAAAGCUCGUUUGGUGGAGGAGAUUAUGUGCUAGUAUAGAGCAGAGUGAUGUUCGUGUUUUUGACGGAUAUCUGUUAAAGCCUUUUGUUUAUUUCUAUAUUUUUUUAUUUAAUCGCUUACGUUGUUUGAUAUGUGUCUGUUAAGUCCUUAUAAUGAUACUAUCAAGUCAGGCGGUUUAAGCUGUAGAUGAGUGUGAAUGUGCCUGUACUUUUCCGGACAUUUAACCAAAGCCACCUGACCCUGCAGUUGUUGUAAAGCCCUGUGUGGCUUUUUAUCGGUGUUCAUCAUGCAGUCUGGUCCUGGCUCUGAGGUACGAUUUUGUUAAGAGAAUUCUGCACCACUUCUUUAAAGCAUUUGAUCUUCAUAGAACCCAGUGAGAAGAUGUGAUGAAGGCCUAUGAAGAGCUCAAAUUGACAUGGAGGUCAUAAAGCAGAACUCUGAGCUCUGAGGCCUGUAAGCAGUUCAAGAGCUGGGAAAACAAGGUGUCAGUACACCACCAGUAGGCUAAUAUACCAACACAAGUGUGUGAGAAAUAGUUAAGGGCGCUACUUGUUGAGACAGAACUGUUAUUUAUCUGUAUUUGUUAGGCAUUAUUGACUUUUUAAAAUCAUCUGUAUGAGACUGAGUUGUAUUGGGUCUGGACAGUUUCUUAUACAACAAGGCAGCUCAAAAUAUUUUUAUAAUCACUAAUAAAUUUAAACACUAUUGCAUUGCGAAAAACAGGACAUUUGCCUUGGGGAUGUACACUUUGCCAGCUCAACAAGUGUUUUUUUUUUUCCCCUCAUGACUGCAUAACUGCAGUCUGAGACCUGUUGGUGCUUGAGAGAGAAGAGUAGGCUGGAGUUUUCUAAUGUGAACAAACUGUCAUUUCAUGCAAGGGUUUUUUUUCCCCUCUGUACUCAAACACACACAUACAGUUUCAAAUGCUCCAUGUGCCAGCUGUAAUUCUCAAGCGUGGGACAUUUAUAAAUUAAGCUUUAAGUGCGAAAGUCUUUAUAACUGUUGCCCUGAUUGCUAAGUGCUGUUUAUGACCUGUUGUUUUCUGUUUAUCAAUAAGAAGUUAUCAUUUGGUAAACAUAUUUGUAUACGAAGACAAAUGUAACUUUUAUAGUGACAUAAUAAACAAUGUUUUGUACUAAAA